UGACAAGUAAAUUGCAACUCAAUUAAUUUGUGAAAAUCUCUUCAUGCGCAUUUAAAUAGCCAAUCGAGUGGAACAGAUGUGCAGAGGUGCAAAACAAUUACAAGCGAGUACAUACAAACAGACAGAUCUCAAUUGACGCAGUUGAAAGUGGCGGAAGUUAUUUGUAGAUUGUAAAUUGAAAUUAAGAUUCAAUGAUUUCGUAAUUAGCGACAUCUAUUAGCCGCGGAAUGUAUUUUUUCGAGUCGGAACAUUUUUUGAUAUAGAGUCAAAACUGUACAAACGAACAAAAUUUGUUAUAGUUAGAAUAUCAGGUCAAGAUCAGAGCAAGUAAAAUAUACAUCUUCAUUAUGUAAAUAGUGCUUAUGAUUUCGAAAAAUUAUUCCGCGAAAUAUUAUAGCUGUGAAACAUGACCUGACGAUAAAUAAAAGCUUCGCGAACCAUCAGCGCACCGCUUGAGUGUUACAAUAAAUCAAAUUAUUUCAUGGCAUGCCAUAAAACACAUUUAGCAGUUAAGCACUGUGAAGCUUUCCAUCGUCUUCAAGCAUGUAAGUAGCAAUGUUUCUUAACUCUUAUUUUCAAGUAGCCACGUUAGACAACCAAUAAAUUUCCCAUAAUUCAUGCUUAUAUGUAUUUAACCGGCAGCACACUUUCAUUUAUUCAUUUCCAAGUGCCGCAGAGCCUACACACAUUUUUUUCAGAUGCCUACAUAAAGAUUUUCCAAAUUACUUUUCACUCAUAAAAGCUUCAAUCAAUUUGCUAGUGAUUUGUUUGAUUCGUUACAGUUACGCUGUGGUUGUUCGAAAUCAUCUUUUGAAGUUUGAAUCGCUUCUAAACUAUUUAGUUGCAGGGUGAUUCCAUCACCCAUUUCAUAAUUUUCAUAAAACUGAAAUUUGAAAAUCUUUUAUCAAAAAGAAAUUUGAAGAUCCUUAGAAUUAGCCUGUCUGAGAAGGCACUCCUUACUGAGGUUUUCACCACCAUUAAACCCAUUAAAAUACUAGAAGAAUUGAGUUAGUUUC